rnacentral:rRNA from 1 species
UUUCGGAUGGAUUUCCUAUAUGACUGAGUGGCGGACGGGUGAGUAACGCGUGGGGAACCUGCCCUAUACAGGGGGAUAACAGCUGGAAACGGCUGCUAAUACCGCAUAAGCGCACAGAAUCGCAUGAUUCAGUGUGAAAAGCCCUGGCAGUAUAGGAUGGUCCCGCGUCUGAUUAGCUGGUUGGUGAGGUAACGGCUCACCAAGGCGACGAUCAGUAGCCGGCUUGAGAGAGUGAACGGCCACAUUGGGACUGAGACACGGCCCAAACUCCUACGGGAGGCAGCAGUGGGGAAUAUUGCACAAUGGGGGAAACCCUGAUGCAGCGACGCCGCGUGAGUGAAGAAGUAUUUCGGUAUGUAAAGCUCUAUCAGCAGGGAAGAAAACAGACGGUACCUGACUAAGAAGCCCCGGCUAACUACGUGCCAGCAGCCGCGGUAAUACGUAGGGGGCAAGCGUUAUCCGGAAUUACUGGGUGUAAAGGGUGCGUAGGUGGCAUGGUAAGUCAGAAGUGAAAGCCCGGGGCUUAACCCCGGGACUGCUUUUGAAACUGUCAUGCUGGAGUGCAGGAGAGGUAAGCGGAAUUCCUAGUGUAGCGGUGAAAUGCGUAGAUAUUAGGAGGAACACCAGUGGCGAAGGCG